UAGGGAAUCUUCGGCAAUGGACGGAAGUCUGACCGAGCAACGCCGCGUGAGUGAAGAAGGUUUUCGGAUCGUAAAGCUCUGUUGUUAGAGAAGAACGUUGGUAGGAGUGGAAAAUCUACCAAGUGACGGUAACUAACCAGAAAGGGACGGCUAACUACGUGCCAGCAGCCGCGGUAAUACGUAGGUCCCGAGCGUUGUCCGGAUUUAUUGGGCGUAAAGCGAGCGCAGGCGGUUCUUUAAGUCUGAAGUUAAAGGCAGUGGCUUAACCAGUGUACGCUUUGGAAACUGGAGGACUUGAGUGCAGAAGGGGAGAGUGGAAUUCCAUGUGUAGCGGUGAAAUGCGUAGAUAUAUGGAGGAACACCGGUGGCGAAAGCGGCUCUCUGGUAUGUAACUGACGCUGAGGCUCGAAAGCGUGGGGAGCAAACAGG
rnacentral:rRNA from 1 species